rnacentral:tRNA from 1 species
GGGCCCGUAGCUCAGUCUGGUAGAGUACUGGACUUUUAAUCCAGGUGUCGCGCGUUCAAAUCGCGUCGGGCCCG